rnacentral:rRNA from 1 species
AUACGUAGGGGGCAAGCGUUAUCCGGAAUUACUGGGCGUAAAGGGUGCGUAGGCGGUUUAUCAAGUCAGGGGUGAAAGGCUACGGCUCAACCGUAGUAAGCUCUUGAAACUGGGAAACUUGAGUGCAGGAGAGGAAAGUGGAAUUCCUAGUGUAGCGGUGAAAUGCGUAGAUAUUAGGAGGAACACCAGUAGCGAAGGCGGCUUUCUGGACUGUAACUGACACUGAGGCACGAAAGCGUGGGGAGC